GAUGAACGCUAGCGGGAGGCUUAACACAUGCAAGUCGAGGGGUAGGGAAGCAAUUCCUGAGACCGGCGGACGGGUGCGUAACGCGUAUGCAACCUGCCUUAUACAGGGGGAUAGCCCAUGGAAACGUGGAUUAACACCCCAUAGGAUUACGGGAUCGCAUGAGUUUGUGAUUAAAACUGAGGUGGUAUAAGAUGGGCAUGCGUCUGAUUAGGUAGUUGGUAGGGUAAUGGCCUACCAAGCCGACGAUCAGUAGGGGUUCUGAGAGGAUUACCCCCCACACUGGUACUGAGACACGGACCAGACUCCUACGGGAGGCAGCAGUGAGGAAUAUUGGUCAAUGGCCGGAAGGCUGAACCAGCCAUCCCGCGUGCAGGAUGACGGCCCUAUGGGUUGUAAACUGCUUUUGUACCUGAAGAAUAGGCCCAACGAGUUGGGAUUUGCCGGUAAGGUAUGAAUAAGCAUCGGCUAACUCCGUGCCAGCAGCCGCAGUAAUAC
rnacentral:rRNA from 1 species